rnacentral:rRNA from 1 species
AGAGUUGAUCAUGGCUCAGGACGAACGCUGGCGGCACGCUAACACAUGCAAGUCGAACGAACGGAGAUAGCUUGCUAUCAAAGUUAGUGGCGGACGGGUGAGUAACACGUGAGCAAUCUGCCUUUAAGUGGGGAAUAACGAUUGGAAACGGUCGGUAAUACCGCAUAAUAUAGCGAAACCGCAUGAUUUUUGCUAUCAAAGAUUUAUCGCUUAAAGAUGAGCUCGCGUCUGAUUAGCUGGUUGGUGAGGUAACGGCUCACCAAGGCGACGAUCAGUAGCCGGACUGAGAGGUUGAACGGCCACAUUGGGACUGAGGCACGGCCCAGACUCCUACGGGAGGCAGCAGUGGGGAAUAUUGCACAAUGGGCGCAAGCCUGAUGCAGCGAUGCCGCGUGAGGGAAGAAGGUUUUCGGAUUGUAAACCUCUGUUGACAGGGACGAUAAUGACGGUACCUGUUCAGAAAGCUCCGGCUAACUACGUGCCAGCCGCUGC